rnacentral:rRNA from 1 species
UACGUAGGUGGCAAGCGUUGUUCGGAAUUACUGGGCGUAAAGCGCACGUAGGCGGAUUUGUAAGUCAGGGGUGAAAUCCCGGGGCUCAACCUCGGAACUGCCUUUGAUACUGCAAGUCUCGAGUCCGGAAGAGGUGAGUGGAAUUCCUAGUGUAGAGGUGAAAUUCGUAGAUAUUAGGAAGAACACCAGUGGCGAAGGCGGCUCACUGGUCCGGUACUGACGCUGAGGUGCGAAAGCGUGGGGAGCAAACAGG